rnacentral:rRNA from 1 species
UACAGAGGUCCCAAGCGUUGUUCGGAUUCACUGGGCGUAAAGGGUGCGUAGGCGGUCGGGUAAGUCUGAUGUGAAAUCUCACAGCUUAACUGUGAAACUGCAUUGGAUACUAUCCGGCUUGAGGAAUGGAGGGGAGACGUGGAAUAACUUGGUGUAGCAGUGAAAUGCGUAGAUAUCAAGUGGAACACCAGUGGCGAAGGCGAGUCUCUGGACAUUUCCUGACGCUGAGGCACGAAAGCCAGGGGAGCAAACGGG